UUUCAACACCACUUUGGUAGGAGCAAGAAGCCAGGACUGGAGUGGAUUGUCCAGAGUCCAGUGCUCCUUUCUGAGUGUGAGAGCCAGGCUGACCAUUACUGCGGGGCUUCAGUUAGGAAAAUACUGGACUUCCUGUAUUAUGGAAGGCGCCCACUGAUCCUGGAAACCAGCUCUUUCCCCCUUUCCAGUCCCUGCACACCACUUAGCCACCUGCAGAUUUGGAGACCAAUGAAAAGGGACAAAAGAAACUCUUGCCAAGAAGAGACCCUUGUGAAGGCAUCUUGGUGAGUCCUGCUAGGAUCUGGUGGUUCUGCUAGGUUCCUCCUUCCCUCUGCCAUCACACUGUUCUCUGGCCCUCUCCCACCAGGUCAGGACUGUGGAUCUGCCAAGUCUCCCUGAGACUGGCAUUGUGCCCAUGCCAUGCCUUUCCUAAGGCUGUUCUGAGUCACCCUGCAGUCUGCUGCCAUCAUACUGGGGAGAGCACUGCCAUUUGGCUGGAUUCCCCCUCAUUACUCUGGGCAGGAAUUCCUGUGCUCCCUGCCUCAUGCAGCACCUGCCUCUCAAUGCGGCCUUCUGAUUAGCUGGUUUCUUCUUUCUACCUGCAGCUGUGUUUACCA
rnacentral:lncRNA from 1 species